rnacentral:rRNA from 1 species
UGGUGGGGUGACUUGUCUGCUUAAUUGCGAUAACGAACGAGACCUUAACCUGCUAAAUAACCCGCAUUGCUCCGGCAGUGCGCUGGCUUCUUAGAGGGACUUUCGGCUCAAGCCGAAGGAAGUUUGAGGCAAUAACA